rnacentral:rRNA from 1 species
GCGUGAGUGAAGAAGGCCUUAGGGUUGUAAAGCUCUUUCGGCGGGGACGAUGAUGACGGUACCCGCAGAAGAAGCCCCGGCUAACUCCGUGCCAGCAGCCGCGGUAAUACGGAGGGGGCAAGCGUUGUUCGGAGUUACUGGGCGUAAAGGGCGCGUAGGCGGUGCGACAAGUCAGGCGUGAAAGCCCCGGGCUUAACCUGGGAAUUGCGCUUGAUACUGUCGCGCUAGAGAUCGGGAGAGGAUGGCGGAAUUCCCAGUGUAGAGGUGAAAUUCGU